rnacentral:ncRNA from 46 species
UACCUGGUUGAUCCUGCCAGUAGUC